rnacentral:SRP_RNA from 1 species
GCCAGGCGUGGUGGCCCACGCCUGUAGUCCCAGCUACUCAGGAGGCUGAGGCAGGAGAAUUGCUUGAACCCAGGAGGCGGAGGUUGCAGUGAGCCAAGAUUGCGCCAUUGCACUCCAGCCUGGGUGACAGAGCAAGACUCCGUCUCAA